GCUCGGUCCCCCGCGGUGGCUGGGUGCAGCCUCUCUCCCCCGUGGUGGCUGGGUGCAGGCUUGGUCCCCUGCAGUGGCUGGGUGCAGGCUGGAUCCUGGGAAGCAGAGCCCAUGCCAUUGUUUUCCAUAACCCCCCCCUCACUGUGCAUACUGGGCACCCACCAUGAGAAAGGGGCACAGACCUUCUGGUCUGUUGUCAACCGCCUGCCUCUGUCUAGCAACACAGUGCUCUGCUGGAAGUUCUGCCAUGUGUUCCACAAACUCCUCUGAGACGGACACCCGAACGUCCUGAAGGACUCUCUGAGAUACAGAAAUGAAUUGAGUGACAUGAGCAGGAUGUGGGGCCACCUGAGCGAGGGGUAUGGCCAGCUGUGCAGCAUCUACCUGAAACCACUAAGAACCAAGAUGGAGUACCACACCAAAGUGUGUCUCUGCGGACAGUUCUGCCACCACCGCCGCCUCCCCUGCUCCAUCCCCUCAGCCCCUCCCUGGGCUCAGUUGUCAGCUCUUUCAGGUAAUAGACAGCCCAGGCUUCUGAGGAAGUGUGCACAUCAUGUACCCCAGCUGUGCGAGAGGAAAGCCGCCGCCAGGCCCACGGGGCGUGACGAGGGCUGGGAUUUUGGCCCAUGUCUUCUGCACCCUUUGUUCCCCAUUUUGCAGCUAGAAAGAACAACUGGCCAGGCAUGGUAGCUUACGCCUAUAAUCCUAGCUCUUUGGGAGGCCCAGGCGGACGGAUCACCUGAGGUCAGGGGUUCAAGACUGGCCUGGCCAACAUGGCAAAACCCCGUCUCUACUAAAAGUACAAAAAUUACCCGUGGUGGUGAUGCAUGCCUGUAGUCCCAGCUACUCGGGAGGCUGAGGCAGGAGAAUCGCUUGAACCUGAGACCAGGAGGCAGAGGUUGCAGUGAGCCAAAACCACACCACUGCAUUCCAGCCUGGGAGACAAAAUGAGACUCUGUCUCAAAAAAAAAAAAGGAAGGGUAACCCUAGCCACUAGAUUGCCUUAUGAAAAUGUUACAGAAGCAUUGAUUUUACUGUUAAUAAAAACAAUUCCUGUCCAGGCACAGUGGCUCAUGCUUGU